AGAGUUUGAUCCUGGCUCAGGAUGAACGCUGGCGGCAUGCCUAAUACAUGCAAGUCGAACGAACCGGACCAAAGAUAAUGAAGUGUUUACACUGAUUUUGAUUUGGAUCUUCCGGUGAGUGGCGCACGGGUGAGUAACAGGUAGGUAACAUGCCCAUAAGACGGGGAUAACUAUUGGAAACGAUAGCUAAUACCCGAUAUGUCAAGAUUUCUUCGGAAGCCUUGAUGAAAGGUCCGUUUGGAUCACUUAUGGAUUGGCCUGCCUUGUAUUAGCUAGUUGGUAAGAUAAAAGCUUACCAAGGCAACGAUACAUAGCCGACCUUAGAGGGUGAUCGGCCACACUGGGACUGAGACACGGCCCAGACUCCUACGGGAGGCAGCAGUAGGGAAUUAUUUACAAUGGGGGAAACCCUGAUAAUGCAAUGCCGCGUGAACGAAGAAGGUCUUCGGAUCGUAAAGUUCUGUUGUAAGGGAAGAAUCAUUAUAGUAGGAAAUGACUAUAAUCUGACGGUACCUUACCAGAAAGCCCCGGCUAACUAUGUGCCAGCAGCCGCGGUAAUACAUAGGGGGCAAGCGUUGUCCGGAAUUAUUGGGCGUAAAGAGUAUGUAGGCGGUUUAUUAAGUCGGUAUGUGAAAGGCUGUGGCUCAACCAUAGUUAGCAUCCGAAACUGGUAAACUCGAGGCAGACAGAGGCAAGUGGAAUUUCUAGUGUAGCGGUGGAAUGCGUAGAUAUUAGAAGGAACACCAGUGGCGAAGGCGGCUUGCUGGGUCUGUACUGACGCUGAGAUACGAAAGCAUGGGUAGCAAACAGGAUUAGAUACCCUGGUAGUCCAUGCUGUAAACGAUGAGUGCUAAGUGUAGGAUAGGUAGCUAUUCUGUGCUGAAGUUAACGCAUUAAGCACUCCGCCUGGGGAGUACGAUCGCAAGAUUGAAACUCAAAGGAAUUGACGGGGACCCGCACAAGCGGAGGACCAUGUGGAUUAAUUCGAUGCAACGCGAAGAACCUUACCAACAUUUGACAUCCUUAGCGAAACUAUAGAGAUAUAGUGGAGGUUAACUAAGUGACAGGUGGUGCAUGGUUGUCGUCAGCUCGUGUCGUGAGAUGUUGGGUUAAGUCCCGCAACGAGCGCAACCCUUGUCUUCAGUUACCAUCAUUAAGUUGGGGACUCUGGAGAGACUGCCGGUGAUAAACCGGAGGAAGGUGAGGAUGACGUCAAAUCAUCAUGCCCCUUAUAUGUUGGGCUUCACACGUGGUACAAUGGACAGGACAAAGAGUCGCAAAGCCGUAAGGUCAAGCUAAUCUCACAAACCUGUUCUCAGUUCGGAUUGAAGUCUGCAACUCGACUUCAUGAAGUUGGAUUCGCUAGUAAUCAUAGAUCAGCAUGCUAUGGUGAAUACGUUCCCGGGCCUUGUACACACCG
rnacentral:rRNA from 1 species